GGGACUCUUGGACAGACGCACUGGGAUCGCUGGCUCUCUCCCAGUCAGGAGACCAGAAACUCUAUCGGAUAUGCUGGAUAUUGAAGCCGAGGUACUGGAUGAGGAGUCUGGACCAGAUUUGGGUUUGAUCAUACCACACAAUGGAGUUCGUUCCCAGAUUACUCAAAGAGACUGUCUGCUGCUUUAGGGGAAAAUGGGGAGAGUGCAACAAUGAAUCAGGACAUUAACUCCAGAAUUUUUGAAAACUACCUGUUGAAGAGUGACACACUAACAAGGUCUUGUAUUCACUUUGUGACUGAAGUACGUCUGGAUCCAGCGGAAAUAUUAUUUUCUAGAUAAGACCAGUGGUUUACUUCAGCUGGAGACUACACUGGCUUAGAGAUGACUGGAGCCCUGCAUACUGGACUCAUACUCUUCUCAUUUGUGGUGUUAUGUAAGAGUGAGCCAACACAUGCUGGGCCAGACAGAGUGGGGGAUUCACAUGAACAAUCCAGACUGGUCCAUCUAACUUCUCACUGGGCCUUCCAGCUGGUCAAUGACUCACUGGCCUUCUCCGGGGCCGACAGAUUCUGCAGAGGCCAGUUCAGCUCCCUUGUCACCCUUGAACAGUCAGAGGACCGGGAGGCAGCCUCGGAGCUACUUCGCCAGACUGGACAUCGCUUGCCGAUCUGGGUCAGGGAUCCCAGCAAAGCAGCCUCCAAGCCUGUGGCCCUCUCCAAACAGUAUUCACAAUUCUCAGCUCUAAACUUCCCAAAGGAAUCCCGUGAGAGCUUUACUCGUGUCAACAUGUCCUUUCCCACCCUGUCGUCCGUCAGCGUGUGCGUUCGAGUCCAGUGGAACCCGGAGUGGAACGACGUGUCCACCAUCUUUUCCUACGCCGCACCCGUCUUUACCAAUGAGUUCCAGCUACGAGGCCAAGUGGACAUGCAGGGACGCAUUCUUCUGGCGCUCAUCAUCCACGGGAAGCACCUGCCGUACAAGGCGUCCUUCCCUAACGACGGAGCUUGGCAUCACAUCUGUGUCACGUGGCGCCAGAGCAGCGGCCAAUGGGCUAUCUAUGUGGACGGGGACAGGAAGGACACGGGCUCAGGCACAGACACUUCUAGGAAUAUCUAUGGAGAUGGUAUACUCAUUCUGGGUCAGGACCAAGAUUCGUUCGGAGGGAAUUUCACAGAGCCCUUUUUUGGAAAUAUCACUGACCUGAAUGUUUGGAAUAUGUCCCUGGAAACAAGGCAUGUCCAUGCCCUCAACGCAUGUACACCCAUGACCCAGGAAGUGCUUUUCAGUUGGAAUCUUGACCACCUAAGCAGCCACCCAGUGGUCAAAGAGGUGCAGGUCCUUCUGUUUUGCCCAGCAGUGCACCAGCAGAUGGAGCUUCAGGGCUGCAGGACGCUGCAGGGCUGGUCAGAUCAGCUCCCACUGUUCGGCCUGACGGACUGCUCUGAUCCACUGUCGUUCAUCUGCAGGAGCAGCAGAGAGCGUUACCUGAAGAUGAAGCAGAUGAGAGACUCUCAGAGCUCCCAGCCCACGGCGUUUAUGAACCAUCUGAUGAAGCUUUCCAACAAAACCCAGGCAGUGCUGGGGCAGCAGCCGUCAGGGCUGAGCAGCCUGGCCCAGGCGUCUGCCCUGCUGGACAUCUCUGUCCAGGCCCUGGAGGACACAGAGCAGGAGGGACUGCAGCCAACGGACAUGGUGUCCCUCAUCCAGCUGCUCUCUCUGGCCGCCGACACCCCCACACAGCCACUCACCGAUGCCACCAACCACAGCCAGGACACCAUCCAGGAGCUCAGCCAGCACUUCAUCAGUGUGGCCGACAGUAUCAUCAGUGAAGACAACGCCCUCAAGUGGCAGGCCAUCAAAGAGGUGGUGAACGGCCCCAUGGAUGUGGUCAAGAGUAUUGACCGGAUGGUGACCAGCUUGAGCCCUCGCUUGAUGGCGGAGACUGAUCACCUGAGCAUUCACAGACCCAACAUCAAAGUGGAGGUGCAGCAGCAGAGGCUGCAGGAAGGAUCCAGAGGAUCGAGCUUCUGUGGGCCUGAGACGGAGAAAUACACCAACCUCGACUGUAUUUCAGUCCCCCAACAGAAGAUACAGGAUCUCCAUAACAACGGCUUCCUUAAGCUCACGUUGGUCAACACGUGGUACGGCUCUCUGCGGCCUCUUUUCAAUCCUGAGGAGAACAUCACCAUGGUUCCUACCGUCACGGAUGGCAGUCAGAGGUAUUUGGGCACCGUCCUGGGCUCCUCUGUCAUAUCCACCACAGUGCUGGGAGACGACCAGCCGGUCAGCACAGCAGUUCGCUUCCAGCUCCAGCACAGAGUACAGAAUCCCACUGGUACUGUGUAUGAUCCAGUGUGCGCCUUCUGGGAUUUUGAUCUCACUCCGGAGGCUGGUGGGUGGUGGAAUACCAAAGGCUGUGAAGUAGUGUCCAAACAAUAUGGAUACACUGUGUGCUACUGCAACCACACCACCAAUUUUGCGUUGCUGCUGCAGGUUUAUGAAGUCCAGAGGAGCCCGGAGAACGAAAAAGCUCUGCAGGUGCUGACGUUCAUCGGCUGUGGAGUGUCUCUGUGUGGCCUCCUCUUCACCUUCAUCCUCUUCAUCGCUGUGGGUGUCCCUAAAUCAGACCGUACCACCGUCCAUAAGAACCUGAUUGUUGCUCUGGGAAUCGCUGAGCUGCUGUUGAUGUGCAGCGACUGGGCAUCUGCUAAUGAGGUAGCGUGCUUCGUGGUGACUGCACUACUCCACCUCUUCUUCAUGGCCUCCUUCUCCUGGAUGCUGGUGGAGGGCCUGCUGCUCUGGAGCAAAGUCGUGUCCGUCAACAUCAGCGAGGACCGCAGGAUGAAGCUCUACUACAUCAUCGGCUGGGGACUACCUGUUCUAAUAGUUGGUGUUACAUUGGCGGUAUCAGUGGAUGAGUACAAGGCAGAUGAUCACUGCUGGCUCAAUGUGAAGACUGACACCAUCUGGGCCUUUGUGGGACCUGUUAUAUUUGUCUUGGCGGUCAACGCAGUCGUGCUGUGUCGGGUUGUCAUGGUGACUGUCUCCAGCGCUCGUCGUCGUGCUAAGAUGCUCAGUCCAAGCUCAGCAUCAAAGAUGCAGACCUUUGACCUCACCUGGGCCGUGACCCGUCCAGUUCUCAUCCUGCUGCCAGUGCUGGGUCUGACCUGGCUGUGCGGAGUGCUGGUCCAUCUGUCGGUAGUAGUGGCUUAUGUCUUCAUCGCUCUCAAUGCCGUCCAGGGCCUGUAUAUCUUCUUAGUGUAUGCUGUUUACAACAGUGAGGUGAGGAAUGCCAUAAAGAGGAUCAAAGAAAAAAGAAAGGCCUUAUCUUUCACGAACUGUUCCCAGCCAACCAGCUUUCUACCUUCCCAGCGGGCCCCGAUUACCUCCUGGGGUCGCAGUCCAGCAACCCCCUCCAGCCCAGAGACCAGCGAGACCUCUGGACCCCCCAGCUCCACCUCCACGUCAUUGGUCAUCAAGAACGGUGUGUGUUUUUUCGUCUUUCAGAGAGCUUCAGAAAGGAAAGCUUUGUGAGUUUCUCUUUAAAACCAGCAUCAGGAAAUCAAGUGGUCCAGCUGAUUGGGUUCAAGCCAUCAGGUUGUUGAACCGCAAAUGGAGUGGAUCCUGAUACGCAAUUACAAGCAUUCACCACGCUGGACACACACACACAGAUCCCACCUGAAGAAGUGCACUGUCUGCCACCACAAACAAACACAAACACACACACACACACACUCUGCUGGGAGGAGUGUGGAAUAAAAUAAGAACGAAGAAAGGAUGAAGAAGAAGUGAGCUUCUCUCACUCUGUCACUGUUCUGUUCUCAGAUCAGAUCAAUGUUCCCUCAAAUACUAAUUUUUCUAACGUAGCAUCUGUCGUGUGUAUAUUGUGUGUUGUAUAUCGCCAACAAAAUGACAAAUGGACAAGUUGUAGGUGAGGUAGCUGACUCUCUGGCAGAAAGUCCCCAGCAUUGGAACAAAUAGAGUAGUGAGUAAUACAUCGGUCUAAAAAAUAUCCUAUUUAUCGCUUGUUGCCUGAUAGAAGUAUAAGCUGAUCUCUUCAAAUGAAUUUAAACUUUAUUGCGUCACAUAAAACUUUAAAGGGUCAGCUCAACCAAAUCAGUUUUAUUUACUAAGAUUGUGGGUACAGUGGAGCAGAUUUUUUUUGUUUUUCUCUUGUGGUGCCCCUAGCAUCAGAAAAUAGCAUUUGAAAACAGCACAGUAACUUACUCCACAGACCUCACUGUGAACAGGAAUCUGUACAGUAGAGUUAAGAUAUUUCCAUAAAACUGUAGACAGUUUUUUCCUGUGAAUUAUUCUGUUUAAUCGGGAUAUUGUAUCUGGGAAGACACAUUGCUGUUGUUGUUUUCAGCAUAAAUGUAGUGGGUGGAGACAGAAAUCUCAGCAGUAGGUAUCUGAAAACGUCAGUAAAUAAAACUAUACUUCUGUAAUAUGGGUGAACCAACCCUUCCUUUAAUUAAAAAACAAAUAAAAUUUUCUUAAA